rnacentral:lncRNA from 1 species
UCUAUACUUCACCUCUGUUCUGGAGUUUUGCAUACGUUUUCAAAAAUAAAGCUCAGUGUUCCUAGCUAUGAUUCUCUCAAGUCUCUCUAUAUGUGGUAUUUGUGGAUCCUUACAAAGAUGUCACCUACCUAUAGCUAAUGGCAUAUUCAAGUGGAGCUCAUAGGAGUGAAAAACAACUCUUACAUAUGUUGUCUAAUCGAGCCAUGGAUCCAAAGGAACUCAGCAUAUAAUUAAAUCAAGAUGUCCAUGUGUGGUGGAGUAAACUAUGGUGAUGGUAAAAAUGUAUAAGUGAUAAUAAAACUUACUUCUCAUUGCUCCUCAUAUUGCUAUCUCUCUCUCUCUUGAUCUUUACUUUUGGGAGAACAUGGGCUAUCUUCUUCUUUUUUUCAGGUGGGUAGUAAAUACCCCUAAUUCUACUAUCAGACACUUGUCCAUUUUUUCCGCUCAGGUGGGCAUCUUUGUGCCCCUAAUUCUACUCCAGACACUUGUCCAUUUUUUCCUCUCGUCUCACUUUUUUUUUCUUUUUCGAGGUUCCAGGCACUUGCCCCUUUUUAUUUCCUUGCAUAUUUUUGCAUAACCCAUGCCUCUUGUGCAUUGAAUCUUUUUGGAGAGAGAGAAUAACAACACUUGGGACAAUGUGUGAUAAUAUUUUUAGCAAUUUUAAUGAAUGGUUGUGGAUGGUGUAGUAGAUGUGUGCAAGUGAAUAUCUUAAUUUAACCACAUGAAAAGCUCCUAAGGGUCUACACAGCUCGAUCAAACUCAAUGUGAAUACAAGUAGCAAAAGAUGUUAUAGCAAGUAUGGCUGUGGUAGGAAUUUUGUCAUGCUAGGAACUCAUCAUGUGAUUUGCAAGUUUUCAAAAUAAAUCUCCAGAACUCAGUGUUGUUAGAACAAGAUAAACAAUAGCUCAGACUUUAUACCAUGUCUUUCUCUUACCUAGACUUUAGUUUUAGGCUCAUGCUCCCAUAAAUAUUAAAUUUCAAGUUUUAGUAAUUCUUGGGAGAAUUCUAAUUUGAAAGCUAGGUACUUACAAGUAAGCAAACAGAGCAAUCAUCAUUUCCAUCAUGCAUCUUUUUGGUUUUCAUUUUCUUGAGAUUAAACUUAGCAGGAAAAAUAAAGCACACUUAUC